rnacentral:rRNA from 1 species
CCUACGAGUGGCAGCAGUGAGGAAUAUUGGUCAAUGGGCGAGAGCCUGAACCAGCCAAGUCGCGUGAAGGAUGACGGCCCUACGGGGUGUAAACUUCUUUUGUCAGGGAGCAAAUUAGUCCACGUUUGGGCUUAGCGAGAGUAGCUGAAGAAAAAGCAUCGGCUAACUGCGUGCCAGCCGCCGCGGUAAUACGGGGGAUGCGAGCGUUAUCCGGUUUUAUUGGGUUUAAAGGGUGCGUAGGCGGAAUAUCAAGUCAGCGGUAAGAAUUCGGGGCUCAACCCCGUCGUGCCGUUGAAACUGAUGUUCUUGAGGGGGCGCGAAGUAUGCGGAAUGCGUGGUGUAGCGGUGAAAUGCAUAGAUAUCACACAGAACUCCGAUUGCGAAGGCAGCAUACCGGCGCCCAACUGACGCUGAAGCACGAAAGCGUGGGUAUCGAACAGGAUUAGAUACCCGAGUAGUC